UACGAAGGGGGCUAGCGUUGCUCGGAAUCACUGGGCGUAAAGCGCGCGCAGGCGGCCCUUUAAGUCUACCCGGGAAAUGCCGGAGCUCAACUCCGCGCACGCCGGGGGAUACUGGGGGGCUGGAGACAUGUAGAGGCAAGCGGAAUUCCGGGUGUAGCGGUGGAAUGCGUAGAGAUCCGGAAGAACACCUGAGGCGAAGGCGGCUUGCUGGGCAUGAUUUGACGCUGAGGCGCGAAAGCGUGGGGAGCAAACAGG
rnacentral:rRNA from 1 species